GAAAAACCAGAAAAGAAAUGGGAAAAAACAACUUUG
rnacentral:rRNA from 1 species